rnacentral:lncRNA from 12 species
GUUUUGAGACCCCCAAGGAGGCCAGGGGAACAGCCUGGGCUCCCACACACCCCCUGCCCACAGCUGGGCCGUGGCUCCUGCUGCCCUCCCAUGGCAACAGAACAGACCAUGACGGGGUGGCCACGAGGGAAUGUUGGCCUCAGCCCUGCCUUUGGUUGCCACCAACAGAACUUGGCCCCCAGAGCUGCCAAAGCAGCCCUAUGACAUAACCCUUGGAAAUGACCACGUGCCAGCGAGGGGAUUUUGCCCUCAGCCAUGGCCAGGUGCCGCCCCUACAGCUUCCUUUUUUCCCUGAACCCCCCAGAGCAAAUUGACAGAGGAGCCAACAGCAGCUGGGGUGUGCCAGAUGUACUUUACGAUCCUCAAGACUUGAACAAUUUUUUGCCUAGAUCCAGAACGGUGUGGGAGCCCGCGCCGAGCACCGACCCCGCCCAGCCCGAGGGUUGCCCGGGGCCACCCGGGGACCUGCUGCAGCAGUGCCUGCGAGCCGCGGGCAUCACGGAGCAGCUGCUGGAGGCCGAGGCCAGGCGGGACCGGGGCAGCUCCCAGCCCCCGGUGGCCUCCCCCAGCGCCCAGCCCUCCGUGCAGCACCCGGGGCCGCUCCCCAGCCUCCCGCUGGCCGUGGGGCCAGCCCAGCUCGGGGGACAGCCGGUGACAGCCACCGCCCUGCCGGUGCCGCAGCUGCUGGUCCUGCAGCAGGUGCCGCAGAGGAUCAUCCUGCAGGUGAAGCAGCCGGGCCCCACCACCCUGGCCCUGCUGCCCAGCCCAGCCCCCUGUGUCCUGGGGAGCGGCCAGGGCCCGGGGCCACCAGCCCACAAAGCCAGUGGCCACCCCCAUCCCGGCAGCCUGUCGCCCCGCGGGCAGCAGCGCCCCGCAGCAGCGGCACCCCAGCACGGCGGCAUCCCCACGGGCAAGGCUGUGGGAGUCGAGCUGUGGCACGGGGAAAGCUUCUGGGGCCUGCAGCCGCACUGGGGGAAACUGGACUCGUUCGUUUCUUACUUUUAGUAAAACUCUUGGAGGAAAGCGAGCUGCAGUUCCGCGCUUUGGCCGCUCGGUGGCAGCCGCGAGCGUGGGAACUGCCCG